rnacentral:rRNA from 1 species
CCCUUAGAUGUUCCGGGCUGCACGCGCGCUACACUGAAGCGUUCAACGAGUAUUCACCUUGCCCGGGAGGGUUGGGUAAUCUUUUGAAAACGCUUCGUGAUGGGGAUAGAUUAUUGCAAUUAUUAAUCUUCAACGAGGAAUUCCUAGUAAGCGCGAGUCAUCAGCUCGUGCUGAUUACGUCCCUGCCCUUUGUACACACCGCCCGUCGCUCCUACCGAUUGAAUGUUCCGGUGAGCUCUUCGGACUGCGCGGUCUGCAGUUUCUGCGUUCCGUGCGGAAAGUUGCGCAAACCUUAACAUUUAGAGGAAGGAGAAGUCGUAACA